rnacentral:rRNA from 1 species
UACGGGGGGUGCGAGCGUUGUCCGGAAUCACUGGGCGUAAAGGGCGCGUAGGUGGUUUGAUAAGGGUGUGGUGAAAGCCCGGGGCUCAACCCCGGGUCUGCCGUGCCGACUGUCAGACUCGAGGGCUGUAGAGGCAGACGGAAUUCCGGGUGUAGCGGUGGAAUGCGUAGAGAUCCGGAGGAAGACCGGUGGCGAAGGCGGUCUGCUGGGCAGUUUCUGACACUGAGGCGCGACAGCGUGGGGAGCAAACAGG